rnacentral:rRNA from 1 species
CCUACGGGAGGCAGCAGUGAGGAAUAUUGGUCAAUGGGCGGGAGCCUGAACCAGCCAAGCCGCGUGAGGGAAGAAGGUACAGCGUAUCGUAAACCUCUUUUGUCAGGGAACAAAGGCGGGGACUAGUCCCCGGAUGAGGGUACCUGAAGAAAAAGCAUCGGCUAACUCCGUGCCAGCAGCCGCGGUAAUACGGAGGAUGCGAGCGUGGUCCGGAUUGAUUGGGUUAAAAGGGUGCGCAGGCGGCCUGUUAAGUCAGCGGUAAAAGCCCGGGGCUAAACCCCGGCGAGCCGUUGAAACUGGCGGGCUGGAGUUGGAGAGAAGUACGCGGAAUGCGCGGUGUAGCGGUGAAAUGCUUAGAUAUCGCGAAGAACCCCGAUUGCGAAGGCAGCGUACCGGCUCCACACUGACGCUGAGGCACGAAAGCGUGGGUAUCGAACAGGAUUAGAUACCCCAGUAGUC